ACGGCAGUAAUCUAAUGGCUAUGAUUUGAGCUUCCCAAGCUUGCUAUCCGGGUUCAAACACUGUUAAAUUCAGAAGAAAUUUAUGGCUUGAAAAUCCCGGCUGCCGUA
rnacentral:tRNA from 1 species